rnacentral:lncRNA from 1 species
GCAGGAGUAGCCAUACUUUAUCAGAGAAAACCAAUUUUUAAUCAAAAUCAGUAAAAGGAGAUGAGAAAGAUUGUUAUAGAAUGAUAAAGGAGUCAAUUCAGCAAUAGAAGAGAAAUAACAAUUCUAGCUAUGUAUGCUCUCAAUAUGAGAGAACCCAAAUAUAAAAACAAAUAUUAAAAGACCUAAAGGGAGAGACAGACUCCAGUACAAUAACAGUUGAAAAUAUCAAUAAUCCACUUCCAGCAAUGAAUGGAUCAUCCAGGCAGAAAACCACCACCACCACCACUACCAACAACAACAAAAGCAAUAGAGUUAAAUUAUACUUUAUACCAAUUGGACCCACAGAUAUCAAUAAAACAUUCCAUCCAACUGCUGAAAAAUUCACAUUCUUCUCACCAGUAAUGGAACUUUUCUGCAGAAUAGAUCCUAUGAUAGACCACAAAGUAAGUCUCAAUAAAUUUUUAAAAGCUGAAAUCACACAGCGUAUAUUUUCUGACCACAGUGCAGUAAAGUUAGAAAUAACAAGAAAAACUUGGGAAACUAAACAAGUACCUGAAAAUUAAACAACUUACUUUGGAACAACAAAUGAAUCAAGGAGGAAGUCAAGAAGGAAAUUAAAAGUUUUCUUGAAAUAAAUGAAAAUAGAGACACACCAAAAGCAAUACUAGCAGGGAAGUUUACAGCAAUCAAUGCCCACAUUGGAAGAAGUACAAUGAUCUCAAAUAAACAACCUGCUGCUGCAUAUCAACGAAGUAGAAAAACAAGAACAAACUAAGCCUAAAAUUAGUAAAAGGAAAAAAUAAUAAAAAUCAGAGCAUAAAUAAAUGAAAUGGAGACUAAAAACAACAACAACAACAACAACAACAAUAAAACAAUAUAAAUGAUCAAACAAAGAGCUGAUUCCUUGCUGGUUCUUCAAAAAAAUAAACAAAACCUUUAACUAGACUUAGGAGAAAGAAGCCUCUAAUAAAUAAAAUCAUAGAUUAAAAAAGGAAAGAUUACAACUGAUUUAACAGAAAUACAAAAAGUCAUUAGAAAUUAUUAUAAACAUAUGUACCAAAAAAUUGAUGAUGUAAAAGGAAUAGACAAAUUCCAAGAAUGUACAUCUUACAAAGACUAAAUUAUGAAGAAAUACAAAACCUGAAAACAUGAACAAACAAUAACAGCAAGAUGGAAUCAGUAAUAAAAAGCCUCCAUCAAAACAAAAACAAACAAACAAAAAACCCAGGACCAUAUGGUUCCACUACUGAGUUCACUGCUAAACAUUUAAAGAACUAAUACUAAUUCUCCUUAAGUUGUUCCAAAAAAACAUAAGAGGAAGAGGAAGAAUUCUUCUAAACACAUUCUAUGAGGCCAGUAUUGCUCUGAUAGUAAACCAGAAAUGGAUACAACAACAACCACAGAAAACAAACAAACAAAUAAAGAGAAAAAAAGAAAACUACUGGCCAAUAUUUUUUUUUCUGGCCAAUAUUCUUGAUGAACAUAGAUGCAAAAAUUCUCAAUGAAAUACUGGUAAACAAAAUCCAACAGCACAUUAAAAAGAUUAUUCACCAUGUUCAAGUGAGAUUAAUCCCAGGGAUGUGAGGAUGGUUCCAUAUGCACAAAUCAAGAGCUGUGAUACACUAUGUCAAGAGAAUGAUGAAAAAAUACCCAUGAUCAUCUCAAUAAAUGCAGGAAAGGCAUUUGAUAAAAUUCAACAUUCAUUCAUGAUAAAAAUGAUGAAUAAAUUAGGUAUAAAAGGAACACAGCUCAACAUAAUAAAGUCCAUUCAUAAUAAAACAAUGGCUAAUGUUAUACUGAACGGGGAAGAGCUGAAAGCUUUCUCUCUAAGAUCUGAACAAGACGAGAUGUCCACGUUUACCACUUGUAUUCAACACAGUUCUGGAAGUCUUAGGCAGAGUUAUCAGGCAAGAGAAAGAAAUCAAGAGCAUUCAAAUUGGAAAAGAAGAAGUCAAAUUGUCACUGCUUUUAGAUUACAUGAUCUUGUAUGUAAAAAAAAAAAAAACCCAAAAAACAAAAAACAAACAAAAAAAAUCCACCCCUACAAAUUAGAACUAAUAAGUGAAUUCAGCAAAAGUUGCAGAAUACAAAAAUCAGCAGCAUUGCUAUAUGCCAAUAGCAAAUUAUCUGAAAUAGGAAUCAAGAGCACAUCCUAUUUACAAUAGCUACAAAAAAAUACCCGGGAGUAAAUUUGACCAAAGAAGCAAAAGAUCUCUACAAUGAAAAUUGCAAAUAUUGAUAAGAGAAACUGAAGACGAUAAAAAACAAUGCCCAUAGGGCCUAAAGCAAUUACAGAUUCAAUACAAUUCCUAUAAAAUAACAAUGACAUUCUUCCCUGAACUGGAAAGAUAAUUCUAAAAAAUUUAUAUGGAACAACAAAAAAACAUGAAUAGCAAAAGCCAUCUUAAGCAAAAAGAAUAAAGCAGGAGGCAUUGAUUUCAAAGCAUACUACAAAGCUGUAGUAAUCAAAACAGCAUGGUAUUGGCAUAAACACAAACAUUUAGACCAAGGGAAUAGAGAGCUCAGAAGUAAACCCACACAUCUAUAUCCAACUGGUUUUUGACAAAAGUGCUAAGAACACACAUUAGAGAAAGGACAAGCUUUUCAAUAAAUAGUGCUGGGAAAAUUGGAUAUCCACAUGCAAAAGAAUGAACCUACACUCCCGUCUCUAAUCAGCUAUAAAGAUCAACUCGAAAUGGAUCAAAGAUUUAAACACAGGACCUGAAACCAUAAAACCACUCAGAAAAAAUGGCAGGGAGUGUUUCAAGACAUUGGAAUGGGCAUGGGUUUUUUGGAAAAGAUCUCCAAAAUACAGAAAACAAAAGCAAAAAAUAGACAAAUGGGAUUACAUCAAACUAAAAAGCUGUGUACAGCCAAAAAAAA